CUACGUCGUUUGGUUUAAGAGGACAUUGGGGUUUUUUAACAAGAUUGUCACAUCCAUUGAUGUUUAAACCUAAAUAUUUAAACAAGAAGCUCAUCAAAUGAUAUCUAGCCACUGGUGUUAAUGUUGUGAUUUCGUUGGCUGAAAAAAAAUUUAUAAUAAAGCGAACUAAAAUUUGGAACUGAUGAAGUCCUUUAUAUACUACCAAAAAUUGUACACCUGGUCAUUUGAAAGGUAUUAUGAAAGGAUAAAACUUUGGUAAUUGAAGAAUACAUUAGUCUUAUUCGAUAAUAUUGCCCGAAGGUCAAUAGCUGCCCACAUAAGGUAGAAAUUUUCUUCAAACAGCUUAAAAUCAAGAUAUAGCUAUUAAAAACCUACUGUAAGAAAAUGUAAUUGUCAUUUACAUGCCUAAGAUAAAUAAGUAAUUAUCUUUCUUAAACACCUGGACGUUCUUAUAAAGCUGAAGAUAAUCUUAAGUAAAUUAACUACUCAUUUUUCCAAGAGGGCAUUUGUACAAAUUUUUCGAUCAACCAAUCUCGUAUCUCCGUAGAUGUAUAUUUGAAAAAA
rnacentral:lncRNA from 1 species